rnacentral:rRNA from 1 species
GACGAACGCUGGCGGCGUGCUUAACACAUGCAAGUCGAACGGAAAGGCCUGCUUUCCCUUGUGGAUUGCGGGUACUCGAGUGGCGAACGGGUGAGUAACACGUGAGUGAUCUGCCCCCAACUUGGGUAUAAGCCUGGGAAACUGGGUCUAAUUCCCGAUAGGACUGCAGGGUGGUGCCUGUGGUGGAAAACGAUUUUCUAGUGGUUGGGGAUGAGCUCGCGGCCUAUCAGCUUGUUGGUGGGGUAAUGGCCUACCAAGGCGGCGACGGGUAGCCGGCCUGGGAGGGUGGACGGCCACAUUGGGACUGAGAUACGGCCCAGACUCCUACGGGAGGAAGGAGUGGGGAAUAUUGCACAAUGGGCGGAAGCCUGAUGCAGCGACGCCGCGUGGGGGAUGACGGCCUUCGGGUUGUAAACUCCUUUCGACCGCGAGGAAGCCACCUGGUUGGAAGGGUGGUGACGGUAGUGGUAGAAGAAGCACCGGCUAACUACGUG